rnacentral:pre_miRNA from 1 species
UCUCAUGCUGUGACCCUACAAAGGGAAGCCCUUUCUGUUGUCUAAAGGAAAAGAAAGUGCUUCUCUUUGCUGGGUUACGGUUUGAGA